rnacentral:misc_RNA from 1 species
GAUGAAGAACGCAGUGAAAUGCGAUAAGUAAUGUGAAUUGCAGAAUUCAGUGAAUCAUCGAAUCUUUGAACGCACAUUGCGCCCGCCAGUAUUCUGGCGGGCAUGCCUGUUCGAGCGUCAUUUCAACCAUCAAGCCCCCGGCUUGUGUUGGGGACCUGCGGCUGCCGCAGGCCCUGAAAACCAGUGGCGGGCUCGCUAGUCACUCCGAGCGUAGUAAUACAUCUCGCUCAGGGCGUGCUGUGGGUUCCGGCCGUUAAAAAGCCUUAUUUACCCAAGGUUGACCUCGGAUCAGGUAGGAAGACCCGCUGAACUUAAGCAUAUCAAUAAGCGGAGGA